AUGCUGGACCCUAUAGAUGGAAUAAUAAAUGUGUUUUUACUGAGAAGCACUUUUGCACCAUUAAAUCGAUCUUAUUUUUGUCAUAACCCUGAUUUUUGUCCUGGUGUUGAGCAUUUAGUCUAUGCAAAAGAGAGAUUUGUGAUUUACCCAAGACAGGGAUAUAUUUGGAUAAAGAUGGGACUGGAAAAGCAGAGGCUGAAAAGCGUUUUUAUUUUUAGCAAACAAUGGUUUGUUUUAAUAAAGAUGUACAGUUAAUAAAGAUUUUAUAGUGUGACCUGAGAGAUUUUAUUGUUGUCCAAGCUGAAGGGUGUUGAGUGAUAUUGUUUUGAAGUUUUAAAGAUAAUGGUACUUGAUUGAUGUUUAAUGCACACUUUCUACACCCAUUACACUAUUGUUCAAUAGGAAAAGCAACUUCCAUAAAUUAGUACAUUUUAUAAUUUAUUCCAAAGAAACUAAAUUUUACACACUAAGAGUUAGACAUGAAACAAGCAUAAAAAUAUUACUGCAUCAAAAAAGCAGAAACUGAAUAUUUAUGCAGGUUGUUAUCAGUAAUUUUGGGUGAUUUGUCAAAUAUCCUUUUUAUUAUAUAUACAUAUAUAUAUAUGUGUGUGUGUGUGUGUGUGUGUGUGUGUGUGUAUUUUUUCUUUUUAAAUAUUAUAAUUUCAGAAGUUUUUAUGACACUAAAACUCAGUUGACAACACCAUCUUAGUAAAAACAUCACAG
rnacentral:lncRNA from 1 species